GGGCGCUGCGCGCGGGGCGGGAGCCGGCCGAGCCUCCGCGCCCCUCGCCUUUGUGCCGCUCGGCGCCGCCGCCCUCUCCUUCCCCGCGCCGGCUGUGCGCCCCGGCUGGAGGGCGGGCGGGGGAUCAAGGGCGGCUCCCGGGGGUCGCGGGGCGCGGACACCCGGCCCGGAGACCAGGCAUCGCGCGCGGCGCUCGGAGCCCGGCCGGCAGCCGAGCGGGACCAGGUGCCGAGCACCCUGCUGAGAGGGGUAUGCUCCGGCCCCCCAGGUGUGGCGGGACCCUGGUGCCAGAGACCUCCCGUUUCUCCGGAUGAGGAGAAGAGCCAGCUGAGCCCUCACCAGCUCACCAGGAUUUGGCCAGAAGACAGUUCCUCUCCUCCCCACACGACUUCUGAGAGGAUGGAGGAACAGCGGAGGAGAGGACUGGCUGCCUUUCAUUCUGAGCUUGGCAGCGAAGGGAUUGGGUGAAGUCAUUGGCCAGUGGAAUGCCAAUUUAAGGGUGUGUGUGUGUGUGUGUGUGUGUGUGUGUAUCUGUCUGUCUGUCUUUGGCAUUGAAAACAGCUUUUAAAAAAGCCCUGCUCUGAUAUAUGAAAUAAACCUGGCUCCCUUGCUGUCUUUCUUGGUUUGUGGAUUUAUCACUUGUCGUCUUUAUGCUGUUUCUUGUAUUUUCCCUUUAAAACAUCAUGUGAUGCUUUUGCAACUGGAAAGGAAAUAACAGAUGCCUUUCUGUUCCUAAGUCUGAUGUUGUCAGCCUGAGGUUUCUGACCGCCUGUUAGGGCAUCACAGAAGGGCCCCUUGCUUCACAGGCAUUCGAUUUACAUUCAGAUUGUUUUCUCUUCUUGGU